rnacentral:rRNA from 1 species
AACAAACGCUGGCGGCGUGCCUAAUACAUGCAAGUCGAACGGGGAAAGCUUUCGGGUGAGUACUAGUGGCGCACGGGUGAGUAACGCGUGGAUAAUCUGCCUUAGAGUGGGGGAUAACUAGUCGAAAGAUUAGCUAAUACCGCAUAAGACCACAAGAACUGCGGUUCAAGGGGUCAAAGGUUUUUCGCUCUAAGAUGAGUCCGCGUAAGAUUAGCUAGUUGGUAGGGUAACGGCCUACCAAGGCGACGAUCUUUAACUGGUCUGAGAGGAUGAUCAGUCACACUGGAACUGAGACACGGUGCAGACUCCUACGGGAGGCAGCAGUAGGGAAUAUUGCACAAUGGAGGAAACUCUGAUGCAGCGACGCCGCGUGAGUGAUGAAGGCCUUCGGGUCGUAAAGCUCUGUCGCAGGGGAAUAACACAAUGAAUGUACCCUGUAAGAAAGGAUCGGCUAACUUCGUGCCAGCAGCCGCGGUAACAC